CGGGACUGCGGGGAGCCGUAGCUUUCGGCGCGGCAUGCCGGGAGCAGUAGUCUUCCGGCACUGGGCUUCCGGUGGGGCCUGUUUGUUCUGAGCGCGGCAUGCUGGGAGCGGUAGUCUUCCGGCACUGGGCUUCCGGGCCGCCCUUUUCGCGUGCACGGUAUGCUGGGAGGUGUAGUCUUCUCAGGCGGGGCUACUGGGUGACCAUGCUGCGCCUCUCGAGGUGGCCCCGCGGGGGGGGGCGGCGGCGGCGGCGGCAGGUCCCUGCCAGCGGGGUUCCCAGCAGGCGGCCGCGUGGCAGGCCAGGAGCUGUAGUGCCCGCUGGGUCUGUUCCUUACUGGACAUGUGUCACUCACGCCUGAGUCCCCACAGGUCACGGGGGACAGUGGAAUGCCCCUGUUUUUCCCCGGUACAGGGCAGGAAGUGUUUUCCAUCUCCGAUGGUGUUGCAAGACAACCUUGGAAGCUCAGAAAGAGUGUUCCUGCUGUUUAAACUAGGCAGAUGAGGAGAACACCCCCCCCCCCCAAUUUCCUGGGAGGAAAUAAUUCUUUAAUCAAGGCCAUGCUAGAAGUGCUAAAGCCUUAAAGAAAUAGUAAAUCAAAAUGUUUUGUUUUCUAUGUAGACGUUGCCGAUUUAGCAAAGGAAUUCGAGGUAUCCCCGAACUGAACUGUCCUCAUUAUAAUACCAGAAAAUCACGCCCAUAGGUCAGAAAGACCUGUGCCCGGGUGAAGACCCCUCCCCUGAGCAUGCGUAGUUUUAAAAUGGUGUGUAAGCAAUAUUAGAAUUGUAUGUAAAUCACUAACCAACCGGUGUAAGAGGGAAAGUUGCAAACCUUGCAACUUGUAUAAAUGCUACUUGGAAAGCCGGGGCGGGGGGGAAGUUGCGCUUGAUUUGUGGGGAAAACACCGAGCAGCCAGGCUUGCACAACUCUGAAAUAAAUAAGCAAAUGUCUCUCCUGAGCGUGUCAUUAUUGGCUUAGUGCACAGCGGGCAACGAAUCCGCUUUUCGGACAGCAGCGUGACCAGGCGCAGGGUUGUCCCCGGGGGCUGGGGCUGUCCCUCUUGGAAAUGGGGAGGGCGGGAAGAGUAGGAGGGGUGCUGCGGGCUCCUGGGGGUCGUAGCUUUGCUCAGGAUUGGGGCCGGUUAGGCAGCUGCUGGGAGGAGUGGCGGUGCUGGGAGGGCACGGUGCGGAGCUGUCCUGCUGUGCAGCGCAAGGGAAAGUCGACCAGCACCGUUGCUGUCCGAGGACCCUGGAACAGCCCGAGAGACCCUGGAACAGCCACCCCACGGACACCGUGUCACUGCCUCGCAAGGCCACCGCAUGCAGGGUAGCCCACCGAAGGGGGACAUCUCGAAGAGAAGCAGCAAGACCUGGGGAUCCGGUGGUUCAUUUUGGUCGUCGCCUGUGAGGCCAGCAUGCAAGAGUAAGAGGAAGCUAGGAGCAGUCUCAAAAAGAUAUGGAACCGAGGACAGCAAAUGCUGACGAAGGAGAAGAGACGGACG